rnacentral:rRNA from 1 species
GCCGCCCCCGCCCGACGGGGUGCAGCAGGCGCGAAAACUUGGCAAUGCGAGAAAUCGUGACCAGGGAACUCCAAGUGCGUAGGGUAAGACCUACGCUUUUCUUGACUCUUCAAAGGUCUUGGAAUAAGGGGUGGGUAAGGACGGUGCCAGCCGCCGCGGUAAUACCGGCGCCUCAAGUGGUAGUCGCUUUUAUUGGGCCUAAAACGUCCGUAGCCGGUCUGGUGCAUUCGUGGGUAAAUCAACCCGCUCAACGGGUUGAAUUCUGCGAGCACGGCCAGACUUGGGACCGGGAGAGGUGUGGGGUACUCUCAGGGUAGGGGUAAAAUCCUGUCAUCCUGAGAGGACCACCUGUUGCGAAGGCGCCACACUAGAACGGAUCCGACGGUCAGGGACGAAACCUAGGGGCACGAACCGGAUUAGAUACCCGGGUAGUCCUAGGUGUAAACGCUGUGGACUUGAUGUUGGGGGCGCUCCGAGCGCUCUCAGUGUCGAAGCGAAGGUGAUAANUCCACUGCNGNU